AGGGGUGUGACUCAGUGGUAGAGCACAUGCUUAGCAUGCACAAGGUCUGUGUUCAAUCCCCAGCACUCCUC
rnacentral:tRNA from 1 species